rnacentral:rRNA from 1 species
UACGGAGGAUCCGAGCGUUAUCCGGAUUUAUUGGGUUUAAAGGGAGCGUAGGUGGAUUGUUAAGUCAGUUGUGAAAGUUUGCGGCUCAACCGUAAAAUUGCAGCUGAAACUGGCAGUCUUGAGUACAGUAGAGGUGGGCGGAAUUCGUGGUGUAGCGGUGAAAUGCUUAGAUAUCACGAAGAACUCCGAUUGCGAAGGCAGCUCACUGGACUGCAACUGACACUGAGGCUCGAAAGUGUGGGUAUCAAACAGG